rnacentral:lncRNA from 1 species
CAACAAAAAUAUUUUCAAACGGGUUUCCCCCAUAGUGCAGCAUUGAAACAGAGUUACUGUGAAUACAGAAGACUGUCUAUCCCACAGCAGGCAAUGCAAUUAAAGACUUCAGAGAAUGCCAGAUUUUUCAGAAUGCAUCAUAGAAUUUUCAAAGCUGUAAGAAAGAGGUGAGGAUGCUGAGAUGUAGAGAGACUGAUUUGCUCAAGAUAACAAAGAGUUUUAUUGAUUUGGGAACCCAUGGAAGGGGGUCAGCUGUGAGAUAUCACAUGAUCAGACUGACUGCCUGACCAGACUGACUGCCAUCCUGUUAAAGGAAUGAAUCACAGUUCAUCUCGCAGAUUUAUGGCAUGCCUACAGAAAAAGUACCUUAUGAUGCAAACCUGAAAGUUUAAAUAAUCUCCUGAAAGUUCCACAAUCAGCUGCAGAGAACUCCAGGAGCUGUUUUUAAAGAAGAUUAAGUUUUCAGCUUUCCUCCACUGUUUUGGGAAACGUCACCUUCUUAUCUUGGAAGAGUAAUCUCAAAAUUGAAGCAUCUUAGAUCCAACAAGAAUUAAAAGGAUGGGAAGUCCUUGCAGCCAUCCAAUAGAGUCAGAAGACUUUGGAUUUUGGAGUCUGUGAGAUUAUCUUACAGAGCAAGACUGCAGAUCAAGAUUUUCCAACGUGGUGCUGACUUUUUUGAGAACAGUUAAUGAGAACUAGGAAAGUCCUUGCAGACCAUCCAGUCCAGCGGCUUUCAAAUGGAAAAUGUGAAAGGACAACAGAAUCACAUGGAUUCUUUUCUGAACUGCUUUUUUCCAGUGAUGCCAUAUUCUAUAAGACUUCAUGUGAAGGUGUGGAGGACGGGUAAUGUCUGAAUCUUCCAGGCAAUGAGAGGGAUGGUGUGAGUCUGGAAAUUCUUUGUGAUGGUCUGAGACUCCCCUUACUCCAGUUAAGAACACUGACUUAAUUCGAUCUGGUUUUUUUUAACAAAUGGCCUCUGAGACGUAGAGCAGUGAGGAUAAGGACUCUUACCCGGUUACAGAGUGGAGUAAGGGCUAGAACUCAACUCUUAAAAAUUUCAAAUGCAAUGUUCUUUCUACAAUAUUGUGCCUACUUCUUCACUUCUGCUUAUAGGCAACUUCCUUUUCCUUUAAUUCUCUAAUAUUUGGAGGGCACGUCACAACUUAUACACUUGCUCUAUAUGUUUUACAUUGCUUCUCAUGGUUUCUCAUGCAUAAGUAUAGUAUUUUCUUAUAUUUUAAAUUUUCUAAGAACAGGUAACCUAUUUUAAACUCCCCUUGCAAUUAUGCAGGUAACUAACACAUUGAUGAUAAGCUAAUAUUAAGAGAGCAAAAUAGUUGAUGAUUAGUUUAUUAGUAUCUCAAAAUAAUCCAUUUGAUGUGCUAAGGUGCUAUUAGUUACAACAUUUCAAGUAUACAUGCAAUUCUUGUUAGAAAUAUUAUCCACCUUUUGAAAUACAUGUUGAUUAAAGACUAACAUGGGCUGUGGGCAUAGGUACAGUAACAGCAUACCAUAGGCCGGAGAAAGAGUUGACUUUGGAGGUCCAAGAUCAAGAAGCAGGAUGUCUAACAGGGCUCUUGAGAAUUCUAGGGCAGCCGGUACUCGAAAGGCAAGAUUUGAUUGUGAAUGAUUUCAUGCAACUCCGUUGGUUAAUAAGCAAAUCCUGCCCACACUUGUGGAUAACAUGGAAGCUACCUGAGCAGGUAAAGGCUAAGACAGAAGAUCCAUGAACAGAACUGGAGUUUUGAUAAUUCACCAGGAACUUGGUUACUUUGUUGUACCUUUUAUGCUUUUAUAUUUCUUCUUCCCUUUCAUUUCCAUGCAAUGUAUUUAUAACUUGUAGCUAGAUUUUUAGAUUACUGCCAGACAAAUUCAGUCAAUUUAAUUAAUUAGGCAAAUUAAAGUGAAAAUUAUGUUUUAGGGGCUGUUAAAAUUUAUAAGACAUUAGCACAUUCUUCUCAUGUGCUUUUAUUAUUAUUACAAAUGUUGUUUCAUAAUUAGCCAUGUGUUAAUUGUUAGCUUGGGGAAUGAUUUACGUGUUUAAAAUUGGGAGAAAUCAUUUUGGCUAUGGCUACCUCUUUUAAUUUACUUACAUAUUUUUUUCCCAUCACACAGUGUUUGACUUUUACAACCACAUACAUUUUGAUUAGAACCUGAAAUAAUUCAGUAAAACAAGAUGAUGGUU